rnacentral:rRNA from 1 species
UACGGAGGGUGCAAGCGUUAUCCGGAUUCACUGGGUUUAAAGGGUGCGUAGGCGGGCAGGUAAGUCCGUGGUGAAAUCUCUGAGCUUAACUCAGAAACUGCCAUGGAUACUAUUUGUCUUGAAUGUUGUGGAGGUAAGCGGAAUAUGUCAUGUAGCGGUGAAAUGCUUAGAUAUGACAUAGAACACCAAUUGCGAAGGCAGCUCACUACGCGAAUAUUGACACUGAGGCACGAAAGCGUGGGGAUCAAACAGG